rnacentral:rRNA from 1 species
UACGUAGGGUGCAGGCGUUAAUCGGAAUUACUGGGCGUAAAGCGUGCGCAGGCGGUUAUGCAAGACAGAUGUGAAUCCCGGCUUAACCGAGGAACUGCCUCCCAAACUGCUUGGCUUGAGACCAGGAGAGUGAGUGGAAUCCCAGUGUAGCGGUGAAAUGCGUAGAUAUUGGGAGGAACACCAGUGGCGAAGCGGCUCACUGGACUGUACUGACGCUGAGCGCGAAGCGUGGGAGCAACGG